AGCGAGACUAGAGUCACAUCCUGACGUUGCUCGUUGUCUUGGUGUGCUAUAGUACUCGCAGAAUAACCUCUCUGCUUAUUCAUUGGCUGCUGCUUUCCAUUGCCCAGCCAAUCACCAGCUCUGAAACAUGC
ensembl:snoRNA